CGGCAUGCCUAACACAUGCAAGUCGAACGGAAGUAGAAAUACUUAGUGGCGAACGGGUGAGUAACACGUGAGCAACCUGCCUUAUACACAGGGAUAACAGUUGGAAACGACUGCUAAUACCGGAUAAGACCACACUAUGGCAUCAUAGAGGGGUCAAAGCGAAUAAGCGGUAUAAGAUGGGCUCGCGUCCAAUUAGCUAGUUGGUGAGGUAAUGGCUCACCAAGACGAUGAUACGUAGCCGACCUGAGAGGGUGAUCGGCCACAUUGGGACUGAGACACGGCCCAAACUCCUACGGGAGGCAGCAGUAGGGAAUCUUCCGCAAUGGACGAAAGUCUGACGGAGCAACGCCGCGUGAGUGAAGAAAGGUUUUCGGAUCGUAAAACUCUGUUGUCAGAGAAGAACAAGUUGGGGAGUAACUGCUCCAGCCUUGACGGUAUCUGACCAGAAAGCCACGGCUAACUACGUGCCAGCCGCUGC
rnacentral:rRNA from 1 species